rnacentral:lncRNA from 1 species
CACUGUCCACGAGAUACAUGCAGGGCAGUCUGCAUUUAGCUGCAAUCUCUUGUGCCCUUAGAUGUUUCUUGACAGUGAUGGGAUAAUACGUUCCACCCUUCACAGUGGGGUCAUUUGCCACAAACAUACAUAGUUUUCCAUGCACAGGUCCAACUCCAGUAAUUAUUCCACCAGAUGGCAAAGGCUCUUCAUAUAAUUCAUGGCCAGCAAGCUGAGUUCAACAAAACAUCAAUUCAAGUGUAGUACAGUGUAAUACUGAGUCAAUAUUUUAGUAUCAUUUCAAAGUAAGAGUCAUUUUGUUCAAUUAAUUGAUAAACAAAACUUACAUUAAUCUAAACAACCCACCUCCACCUCCACCUCCACCUCCACCAUCAACAACGACAACAUCCAGUUAAGCCUUAUAACCAAUAAACUCAUGUCUCAGAAUUCUUUGCUGCAGUCAGGUUGAUUUAACUCUGAUUCAAGAAUCCAGUGAAAUUAAGCUCCCGUUUGGCCCCCAUUUUAGGAAAAUAAAAAUGGGUAAAAUAGUAUUAUUUUGAAAAAUGAGUGGUUGAAAAAGAAGGAAAAUUUUUUAAUUUACAUGUAAUAUUAUUUUAUGGAAGAUUGUAUAGUUGAAAAUAGGAAAGAGAAAAAUAAAAUGCAAUGGAAUGAAAAUUAAUGGGGGCCAAACGGGGUAUAAAUCUUUUAACCUCGUCAAACGAUCCUAAUUUUGGUUUGUUUCCCUCUUCUAAUGGAGGGACCACAUCAACUUCACGACAAGAGUUUCUUUAAAGAAUUAAGUUAUGGGGCUGUCUGGUAGAAAUUCUCUCAAAAUUAUUAUCGAAAAUCCUACCGUUGUAAAGGUUUGCUGCACAAACUUCAGCCGCAAUAAUUGACAACAAGUACUGGCAGCCAUCAUCUCAUUAUUUCAAUUGCCAAAAAUGCACUCAUUUAAUAAUAUUUAAUGCAUUUAUUGAGGGGCACUCUCGUUUUUUCGCCAAAUAAUUUAAUUGAAUGGUACGAAGGCAGUCAAAAAAUGCUGCUACAGUAGGGCCCCUUUUCCUGUAUAACGUUCGGAAUUAUAAUGAAAAUUUUGGGAUAAUCUCUACCAGACAGCCCCUAUAUGUACAUUGUUGUUUACAUUCUCUAUGACAUUCCAUCCUAUGUGUCAAAAUCUCCUGCUCCAAAGCUUCCUCCAAUGAUAACUGUAAUUUUGGGUACCUACACAGAAUGCAAUUGCAAGUAAAAAUGCAUAAUGAUAAUUAAAUUUGCAAGGUUUUCUUUAUCUUCUGAUGUGGGAAAGAGUGCACUUGAGACAUCUGAUUGAUGUAUAAUCAUGGACGUAGGCGCUCAUAACAUAAGAGAACAAAGAAGACUCAAAGUUGUAAUAAGCAAAUAACCUUUGCACAAGAAACUGCCAUAACCAUUUUAGCUCCAGAUUUUGCUAUACCACUGGCCUCAGAUUUUGAGCCAACCUGAAAUUUUGUCAAGCAAAAUAAAUAAAUUCACAUGCAUCAAUUUUAAUAUUUGAACGAAAAUAACCCCUAAACUGAACUCAAUCUGAAUGUGUAACUGUAAGAAGCUGACACCAAAUCAAGUAAUAGUGUUCCGAAUUUCUCCCGUAAAAGUGAGUUUUAAAGUUUAAUUCCUCGAAGUAGAAGAUACAAACUUUUCUGGUAAUUAUUGGGUAAAUUAUACGUGAAGAAAACUCAUACUCUCGUUCUCCAGCUUGAACUGCGCUUCCCAGAAACUAACAGAAUUAUUUAAACCAUUAUCCAAUCAUUUUUAAGUUAUGUCAAACUUGACCAGCAGGGUGUCUAGCUACCUGCUGAUUCUGAAACUAAUUCACACAGCUGUGGAAAAUAUGCAUCGAAUUACUGUGAGUUAGGAAGAAGAGUAAUACUGCAUACCAUAAAUCCCGUGAUGUUCUGGAGAAAGAUCAAGGGAAUGUUACGUUGAGUGCAUAAUUCGAUAAAGUGAGCUCCUUUUAAAGCAGAUUCAUUAAAUAAUAUACCAUUGUUUCCAAGAAUCCCAACAGGUUGCCCAAGAAUUCUUGCAAAACCUGUUACAAGUGUCUGUUCAUGACAAAAGAGAGGGAUAAAUAACAAAAACCAAACACCAAAAAACAUAUAUGACCAGAAGUCGAGUAGAAGGGAUAAGAAAACCUCACAGUGCCAUACAAUUUCUUGAAUUCAUCAAAUUCACUUCCAUCUACAAUGCGAGCUAUAAUAGAUCGGAUGUCUAACGACUGUUUGAGGUCUGUUGGUGCAAUAGAACGAAGUUCUUCUACAUCAUACAAUGGCUCUUUGUAAUCAGGUACGAGAUGAUCAUUUACACCCCCAGCCAUGUGCAAAUUCUUAAUUAUAUUCCUCCCUAUAGCAAGUGCAUGCAGUUCAUCUGCAAGAUAGAGACAACUUCAACAAUGCCACAAAUAGUUUCUGCAAAGCAACAGGCUUAAAACCAAGUGUAUCAACAAAAUGCCUAGAUAAAUAAGUUUGCUUCAUAAUUGCUGCUCUAAUGCAAAGAUAAAUGAAUUUUACCUUGAGCAAAGUAAUCUGAAACACCUGAAGUUCUACAAUGCACGGUUGCACCCCCCAAGUCUUCUGCAGAAAUCUCUUCUCCUGUAGCAGCCUACUAAAACAUCAAUUUAGAAAUAAAUUAAAGCUUUAAUUAAAUAUAAUUAAAUGAAUGGAACAAAUGAAAGUCAUAGUUCUAGAAGAUACUUAAAAAAUGAAGAUACAAGAUGCACAGUAAUAACUAUAAUGGGAUGAAGAGCAAAUCCAAAUAUUACAACAUGUAUAAUUUUCAAAUACGAGUAGAUCUCAACUAACCUUCACAAGUGGAGGUCCAGCAAGAAAUAUUGUUCCAUUUCCUCUGACCAUUACACUUUCGUCCGCCAUUGCAGGUAUGUAAGCCCCACCAGCUGUGCAAGAACCUAGUACCAGUGCAAUUUGGGGAAUACCUUCAGCUGACAUCAGUGCUUGAUUGUAGAAAAUUCUACCAAAAUUUUCCUUGUCAGGAAACACCUCAGCUUGCUUUGGAAGGAAAGCACCCCCACUGUCCACGAGAUACAUGCAGGGCAGUCUGCAUUUAGCUGCAAUCUCUUGUGCCCUUAGAUGUUUCUUGACAGUGAUGGGAUAAUACGUUCCACCCUUCACAGUGGGGUCAUUUGCCACAAACAUACAUAGUUUUCCAUGCACAGGUCCAACUCCAGUAAUUAUUCCACCAGAUGGCAAAGGCUCUUCAUAUAAUUCAUGGCCAGCAAGCUGAGUUCAACAAAACAUCAAUUCAAGUGUAGUACAGUGUAAUACUGAGUCAAUAUUUUAGUAUCAUUUCAAAGUAAGAGUCAUUUUGUUCAAUUAAUUGAUAAACAAAACUUACAUUAAUCUAAAC